rnacentral:tRNA from 1 species
CGAGCACGCCACCGCCGGUGCGGUAACCGGCCUGGAAGACCGGGGCCACGGGCGACUGUGGAUGGUUCAACUCCAUCGUGCUCGGCCA